rnacentral:rRNA from 1 species
CCUACGGGUGGCUGCAGUAAGGAAUAUUGGACAAUGGUCGGAAGACUGAUCCAGCCAUGCCGCGUGAAGGAUGAAGGCGCUCAGCGUUGUAAACUUCUUUUGGACGGGAACAAAAUGUGGGAUUCAUCCUGCACUGAGGGUACCGUCAGAAUAAGCACCGGCUAACUCCGUGCCAGCAGCCGCGGUAAUACGGAGGGUGCAAGCGUUAUCCGGAAUCACUGGGUUUAAAGGGUGCGUAGGCGGUCUGAUAAGUCAGUCGUGAAAUCGCUGGGCUC